rnacentral:rRNA from 1 species
CCUACGGGAGGCAGCAGUGGGGAAUUUUGGACAAUGGGCGCAGGCCUGAUCCAGCAAUGCCGCGUGAGUGAAGAAGGCCUUCGGGUUGUAAAGCUCUUUUGUCAGGGAAGAAACGGUGAGGGCUAAUAUCCUUUGCUAAUGACGGUACCUGAAGAAUAAGCACCGGCUAACUACGUGCCAGCAGCCGCGGUAAUACGUAGGGUGCAAGCGUUAAUCGGAAUUACUGGGCGUAAAGCGUGCGCAGGCGGUUUUGUAAGUCUGUCGUGAAAUCCCCGGGCUCAACCUGGGAAUUGCGAUGGAGACUGCAAGGCUAGAAUCUGGCAGAGGGGGGUAGAAUUCCACGUGUAGCAGUGAAAUGCGUAGAGAUGUGGAGGAACACCGAUGGCGAAGGCAGCCCCCUGGGUCAAGAUUGACGCUCAUGCACGAAAGCGUGGGGAGCAAACAGGAUUAGAUACCCUGGUAGUCCACGCCCUAAACGAUGUCUACUAGUUGUCGGGUUUUAAUUAACUUGGUAGCGCAGCUAACGCGUGAAGUAGACCGCCUGGGGAGUACGGUCGCAAGAUUAAAACUCAAAGGAAUUGACGG